AAAAAUCACACAUUCACCUUCUUUCUUUAUUCUGCAGGUUGUUUCUUUCAGAGACAUAUUGCUGAAACCACAAAACAAAUGCAACUGAAUCGCCAGCCAGGCCGAUGGCCCCAUCCUUGCUGUGGACCCCGACACGCCUCAUCUCCAUCUCCUUUCCCUUCUGGCCUCUGUGUCUCCUGUUCUCCCACCAAACGCUUCAGUGCAUCCCCCGAAGAGCUUCGCAGAUGCUGCUUCCCCACCCGCUGCGCUGCCAAAACACAGAGCUUUCAGCUCCUCCCCUCCUGCACACACGAGACGAGAUCUAAAUAGAUGACGAAUGCUGGUGCCCAGUGCCCUGCAACGGAAAGGCAGGCUCAGAAAAUAUUGCUGCGUGUUCUCAUCCAAGUCAUUCACCAGAUCUGGCAGCACGCAACUUCUGGCUCCUCCCCAAAGGAAAACUGUCCACACAAGGUAAACAUUUGAGUCGGUUCGGGACGCCCAGGCAGCUACAGAAGAGCACACCCAGAAAGAACUGCGUCAGAAGGCGGCAGAAACGUUGGGAUAAGUGCGUUACAGGACAGAGGGAGUAUACUGAGGGGGGCGGACGGCAACGUGUCUUUUACCGUAAUAAAUGUUGAAUGUAAGCACUGACUGUAGUUUUCAAUUAGCCCUCGUAGGUCCAUGAAUACGAGGCCCAGAGGAACUCACACAGAGGACGAGGCAGGCAAAGACAUACACACAAAGAAAGAGAG
rnacentral:lncRNA from 1 species